rnacentral:misc_RNA from 1 species
AAGUCGUAACAAGGUUUCCGGACAAAUCAUAGCCCGGAAAGUUGUAGUGAUUCAGAGACCUCUGGCUACGUGCAAACAUUGGAACAGUUACAAUCGAGCGGUAGUUCUAUAGGCAAUGUUUCCCCAAGCAGUCAGUGUCGGAAAGUGUCAUUGAUUGUGCAAGGAUAGCGCUUCUACGAUUCCUGUAGACCGUACACUCGGGCAGGAGCUUUGCCAAAGGGUCCCCAUGCCCCCUAAUAACCCCACAGUUUAAUGUGAAGCUCAAUGUAAUACAUUGGGUAAAAAAACCGAACAACUGUUAACAAUGGAUAUCUUGGUUCUC